UACGAAGGUCCCAAGCGUUGUUCGGAUUUACUGGGCGUAAAGCGUCUGUAGGCGGCGCGGUAAGUCAGAUGUGAAAGCCCGGGGCUCAACCUGGGAACUGCAUCUGAUACUGGCAGGCUAGAGUUUUGGAGAGGUAAGUGGAAUUUCCUGUGUAGCGGUGAAAUGCGUAGAUAUAGGAAGGAACACCAGUGGCGAAGGCGGCUUACUGGCCAAAAACUGACGCUGAGGUGCGAAAGCGUGGGUAGCGAACAGG
rnacentral:rRNA from 1 species